rnacentral:lncRNA from 1 species
UCCCUUGGUAGGGGCAUGCAGAAGACCUGAUGACACAAACCCUCCAAAGAGUUUCACCCUCACCACAACAGGUGGCUUCCUGCUCGGCAGCCCAUCCUGCAUCACUUCAGUGGACUUCUCUGACAUCUACUAGACCACAUUAAAUGAAUCACAGCCUUGAAACUGAACUGGAAGGACUUCCUUCAAGAUUUUUAUCUAAUUCCUGUUGGACAGUGUAAAAUGCCACUUCUUCCAGGGUUGCCUGCAUAUCAUCAAAAGGGAAAUAGUACUCAUCGAAGAUGUGCCUUUGCUAGGAACUAGGACAAGGGUGGCCUUUAUAAAUUCAUGAAGAGAAGGAGCCAGCAUAUGAACUUGCUGCCUAUCUUUAGCAAGGAGAUGCAAAUGACAUCCACAAACCUCUUCUGCUGUAUACCUGGAUGAAAGCAAGGCUAGCUGUGUGUCCUAUGGCACCAAGGACUGAAAGAUUGUAAGAAGUAAGAUGACCUACAUCCAAAGUGAAAAGUUAUUCAGCCUCUGAAGAGAAGCAUUUUGUUUGGGGAUCUUCAAGUAUGCUUGUCAGCACCGAGAACUGGAAAAAAAUCUCUGAUUGUCCUGCAGCAAUGGCAUUAAAGGCUCCUCAUAACAUACAGAACCAGAAUUGUGCCAUAAUUUACUGAAAUUGAACAUUGCUCUGUGACUGCUAAUUUUCCAUCGAGAUGAUUCUGUCUCUAACCAAGAAAAGAAAAGUUUGUCUUCCUGACUGCUGACACUGCUGACCAAGCCCACCACCAGAUGCCUGGCUGCACACCCAGAGGGCAGCCGCUUCCCGUGGUCCUCUCGAAGAACUUCCCUUUUGCAAUGCAUGUUUAGCAAGUGGAUGAGUUUGUCUUUUCUGAUUUCUCUGCAAGCUCUGCAUUGCCCACCUGAACCAGUGCUUCAGAAGAACUAAUGGGAUCUCUGACCCUCCAACAUCCUCUUCCAGACUUUCACUUUCCUGGCUCCUUGCAGGGACAUGUAAUAAACGUGCUCUCCAGAGAAA